UGGACAGAUUAUUGUAUUCGACCGUAUUCGACUGUAUUCACGGCGUAAACUAGGGGAUUACACUGUUUUUAAACGAAAAGUGAAUCAAUUAACAUAAUAGACUCCU
rnacentral:pre_miRNA from 1 species